UUUAUGAGUUUUUGGCUUUCUUGAAAUCAAUAAACAAAUAGUAAUGAAUCAAUAAGUAGAGAAAUAUCAACACAAAGAAGCUAUACUGGUUCAACUAUCACAAGCCUAUCCAGUCCUCCUUCAACAACCUUAGUUGAAGGGAAUCUACUAUAAUUAUUGAGUAUACAAGAAUACAGAGACAAUCCUCUAAAUGCAAUCCUCUCACCACUAAAAAUCAAUAUAGCAAUACAAGAGAUGAACAACCUCACCCUCUAACAACAACCAAGAGCAAUCCAGCCCUUAACCCUUGGUAAACCCGCGCAGGUACACAAUACACAAAUUGUUUAUGAAGAACCUGAUCUCUAACAAACACUCUUCAAGUGCAGAUUGAAUCAGAACCACUUUAGCACAAAGUCU
rnacentral:lncRNA from 1 species